UACGUAGGCAGCGAGCGUUGUUCGGAGUUACUGGGCGUAAAGGGUGUGUAGGCGGUUUUCGUAAGUUUGGUGUGAAAUCUCCCGGCUCAACCUCGGAUGCCGGUGGAUACUGUCGGGCUUGAGUACGGAAGAGGCGAGUGGAAUUCCUGGUGUAGCGGUGAAAUGCGCAGAUAUCAGGAGGAACACCAAUAGCGAAGGCAGCUCGCUGGGACGUACUGACACUGAGGCGCGAAAGCGUGGGGAGCGAACAGG
rnacentral:rRNA from 1 species